rnacentral:rRNA from 1 species
CUUGCUUCUCUUGAGAGCGGCGGACGGGUGAGUAAUGCCUAGGAAUCUGCCUGGUAGUGGGGGAUAACGUUCGGAAACGGACGCUAAUACCGCAUACGUCCUACGGGAGAAAGCAGGGGACCUUCGGGCCUUGCGCUAUCAGAUGAGCCUAGGUCGGAUUAGCUAGUUGGUGGGGUAAUGGCUCACCAAGGCGACGAUCCGUAACUGGUCUGAGAGGAUGAUCAGUCACACUGGAACUGAGACACGGUCCAGACUCCUACGGGAGGCAGCAGUGGGGAAUAUUGGACAAUGGGCGAAAGCCUGAUCCAGCCAUGCCGCGUGUGUGAAGAAGGUCUUCGGAUUGUAAAGCACUUUAAGUUGGGAGGAAGGGUUGUAGAUUAAUACUCUGCAAUUUUGACGUUACCGACAGAAUAAGCACCGGCUAACUCUGUGCCAGCAGCCGCGGUAAUACAGAGGGUGCAAGCGUUAAUCGGAAUUACUGGGCGUAAAGCGCGCGUAGGUGGUUUGUUAAGUUGGAUGUGAAAUCCCCGGGCUCAACCUGGGAACUGCAUUCAAAACUGACUGACUAGAGUAUGGUAGAGGGUGGUGGAAUUUCCUGUGUAGCGGUGAAAUGCGUAGAUAUAGGAAGGAACACCAGUGGCGAAGCGACCACCUGGACUAAUACUGACACUGAGGUGCGAAAGCGUGGGGAGCAAAC